UUUCUAUCUUGUAAUAAGCUUGUAAAGUUAAUUGGUUUUUGCCGGUUUUUAUGUGCGUCUACGAAAUCGUUUUUGUGUUUUCCACAUGCAAAGCAUUGUGCGUAAUUUAACAUGGAAAAGACAGAAGAAGAACGACGUCAAUUAGUUGCGCGCAGAGGCACAAAGAAAGGUACUCUAACUAGAUUGAAAAACAAAAUGGAAGAAUCGUAUAUAAACGAUAUAGAAAUGCUAAAACUGAUGGUUGAGAGGGCCCAGACGGCAUUCCACGAUUAUGAAGAUCUGUGCGAGAAAAUAGGCGAUGAAGAGGAUCCCAUUGCUGUCGAAACGACUUAUUAUGAAUGCGUCGCAGCAAUGCGUCGACGAAUUGCGGAUUUAUCUGCACCUGGACCCACCCCUGCCGUUUUGCUGGCAGCGACGCCUCAAGUGUCGUCGAAAGUGAAGUUACCGAAUGUACAAAUACCAUCAUUCAAUGGCAAGUAUACAGAAUACAGACCUUUCAUAGAAAUGUUUACUGCCCUUGUGCACAACAAUGAAGGGUUCGACAAUAUACAAAAGUUUUUUUACCUGAGAAGCUUCUUAAAAGCUGAAGCAUUUGAUUUAAUCAAAAACUUACCUGUCAUUGGUCAAAGUUAUUCGGAAGCUCUCAAAAUUUUAGCUGAUAGGUACGAUAAUAAAUAUAAAAUCAUCAAUGAGCACAUAAAUGCUUUGUUUGAGUUGCCAAUGCUAACUAAGUCAAGUCCUAGUGCUUUACGCUCUUUGAUUUCAAUAACAAAACAGCAUUUAGCUGCAUUAAAAAACCUUGAUGAGGCCAUUGAAAAAUGGGACAGCGUUCUCAUUUGCCUAUUAAACAAAAAACUAGACCCGGUAACUAACCGAGAGUGUCAUUUGCAUAGGGAUUCCUCAAAACAACCAACCUUUAAUGAUUUUUUGAAAUUUGUAGAAGGUCGGGCCCUUGCCCUAGAGAACAGUGAGGGACGGGGUGAUACAGCAAGCUGUGCUGCUGGCAAGGUAGCUCCAGUGAAGAUGGCAUCAUCAUCAUUUGUCACUACCAAAGCAUCCCAAGGCUGUCUGUACUGUGUGCCUGUUGUCGCAGCCUGAGGAGCUGCGCGAUCCUGAUGCCGCACCCAGCUUGGUUCACACACAGUUUGGUUACAUAGUAGGAGGUGAUGUUCCAUCUUCUAUUCUUAAACGACCUGCUGUUUCUCUUUUCUGUCAAGAAUGUCAAACUGAUGUACGCGAUACUAUGUCUAAUUUUUGGCAAACAGAAAAGGUGCCUGAAAUAUAUGCGGAACAUACAUCUGAACAACAACAGUGCGAAAAAUUGUUCACUGAAACUGUCAAACUUGAAGACAAUCAAUUUACAGUUUCAUUGCCAUUAAAAAUACCUAUCUAUGAUGUGAACAAUACAUUGGGGGAUUCAUUUGGGUUAGCUCUCAAGAGAUUUUAUAAUCUCGAGAAGAGAUUUCAGAAGGAUCAGAAGUUGUAUGAAGGUUAUAAGGAUUUCAUACAUGAAUAUCUCGACUUAGGUCAUGGAUCAUAUGUUGACAUUUCCUCAUAUGAUCUUACUAAAGAUCCUGUGUACUUUAUGGGACAUUCAGCUGUUUUAAGGCCGGAUGCAGUAAGUACCAAGCUCCGGGUAGUCUUUGAUGGAUCUAUGUUAACGAGUAAUAAGAUUUCAUUGAAUAAUAUUUUAAUGAAUGGACCAACUGUUCAACAGGAACUGUUCGACAUACUGUUGUCAUUUAGAGUGCACAAAUAUUUCAUUGCUUGUGAUGUCAGGCGUAUGUUCCGAAAUAUAUUAGUACAGAAAGAUCAGCGAUCUUUGCAAAAUAUUCUCUGGCGAGACACUCCUAAUGAGUCAAUGAAAUGUAUUCAGCUAAACACAGUUUGCUAUGGAAUGAAGUCAUCAAGUUAUCUUUCAACAAGAUGCUUGAACGAGCUGGCUACGAAAUUCGAGAGGCAAUAUCCUCUAGCCAGUUCUGCAAUACUAAACUCUACCUAUGUAGAUGACAUCAUUCAUACAGAGGAUAGUUUGGCAAAGAUUGUUGACACUCAAACUCAAUUGAUAGAAUUACUUGCUAAGGGUAGUUUUAAACUACAUAAAUGGGCAGCUAAUGACUCUUCAAUUUUGACAAAUAUUCCAGCAGAGCAGCAGGUUGUUGGAGAACUGGAACUGAAUAAGGACAUCAAAACUUUAGGUUUAAAGUUAGAUAUUGACUCUGAUUCGUUUAAACUUUCAUGUCCAUUGUCAAAAAAUGUCCCUAAGACAAAAAGACAGAUUUUAAGUUACAUAAGCCAAUUCUAUGACCCUUUAGGUCUAGCGGGACCCGUUUUUGUCCAAGCUAAAAUCAUUAUGCAAAAAUUGGCUCAGGCUUGUACCGACUGGGACUCAGUGCCCUCGCCUAUUUUACUAAAAGAAUGGCUUGAAUUUUACAAUGAUUUGCAGACAAUGAAAGAAAUUAAAAUAAAACGAAAUGUUACUGUUGACAACAUUCAGUCUGCUCAGCUAGUAGCAUUUGGUGAUGCCUCAAUUUCUGCAUAUGGAGCAGCCAUUUAUUUAAGAGUCACUGACAAGCAUGGCAAAGUAUCGAUGUCGCUUCUUUGUUCUAAGAGUCGCAUUGCAUCUAAAGACAAGAAAUUGACUGUGCCACGAUUAGAAUUAAAUGCAUCUCUUUUGAUGGCAAAAUUAUGCUUUAGAGCAUACAAUACUUUAAGUAAAAAGAUAUCUAUUAAAAGUGUGCAUCUUUUCAGUGAUUCUCAGGUUGUUUUGGCAUGGCAAAAAACGGAUCCAACAAAACUAAAUGCUUAUGUUGCUAAUAGAGUCAAAUUAAUAAACGAAUAUACAAAGGGUUUUCAAUGGUUGUAUAUAAAAACAGACCUCAAUCCUUCUGACUGUUUGAGUCGAGGUGUAAAACCUAGUGAACUACAAAGUAACCAACUGUGGUGGUGCGGACCGACUAGCAUGUCUGAUCCGGAGUAUAAAUUCACUGAUGAUAGUAACAAUGUACCUGACAACCUACCGGAGAUCAAGCAUGCUGAUGGUUCCAAGCCGGUGUGUAUGGCAUCAUAUCAAUCGGUUUCUCUUGCAAAUGAUUUGUUAGAUAAGUUUUCUAACAUUAAUAAGGCAGUUAAUGUGCUUGCCUACAUACAAAGAUUCUGUAAGAAUGUAAGGCCAGGUUCACAAAAGAUAAAACUUAAUUUUAUUACUUUUAGCGAGGCAACCCAGGCAUUGCAUAUGUUUAUAAAGAAUGAGCAGGAAAGGUUCUUUGAUAAAGAGCUGGCCUCUUUGCGGGCAGGUAGGCAAGUUUCGUCGUAUUUACUAUCUGUCAACCCCUUCAUUGAUGCUAACGGUAUUCUCAGAGUAGGUGGACGUUUGCAGCACUCCUCCUUACCUUAUAGCCAUAAGCAUCAGAUAAUCUUACCAAAAGAAUCUAAGGUCACUUACCUUAUUAUUGAAAAUGAACAUUUAAAGCUUUUACACGCCAGUCAGAAAGAAGUACUUAGCAAUUUAAGUCAACGCUAUUAUAUAGUUAACGGUUUGAGAUUGGUAAAAAAGUUUGUGAAUAAAUGUCUCACAUGUUUUAGACUGAAAGGUGUAACAGCAAAACAGCUGAUGGGUUCAUUACCCGCUGGUAGAGUCAGCAUAGAUCGAGUGUUUGCUAAGGUUGGUAUAGACUUUGCGGGACCAAUCCUGAUAAAGCAGUCAAGAGUGAGAAGUGUUGUCACUACUAAAGGUUAUAUUGCUGUGUAUGUGUGCUUUGUUACCAAAGCCAUACAUUUAGAGUUAGUGUCAGAUCUCACCACUGAUACAUUCUUGGCUAGCUUCAAACGAUUUAUUGCUAGACGUAAUGUUCCAACAGAGGUCUAUUGUGAUAAUGCCGCUACUUUUAAGUCGGCUAGUACUCAGUUGUCUGAGUUAUAUAAAUUGAAUAAUAAUAAAUGUCAUCAAAUUCAAGUUCAAAAUGUAACUGCAAAAUUGGGAACAACAUUCCAUUUCAUACCGAGUUACUCUCCGGUUUUUGGUGGUCUAUGGGAGGCCGCAGUAAAAAGUGUUAAAUAUCAUUUGAAAAGAAUGUUGGGCUCACAUGUUUUAACAUAUGAAUUGUUGUACACGGCACUUGUUCAAAUUGAAAGCAUUUUGAACUCGAGGCCUAUAACGCCAAUGUCAUCAGACAUUGAGGACCUCUCCUAUUUAACGCCAGGGCACUUCUUAACUGGUGCGCCCUUAACUUGCUAUCCUGAGCAGGAUAUCACGAACUUACCUGAUAAUAGAUUGAAGUUUUGGAGGAAAUGUACUGCUCUGCAGCAGCAUUUUUGGCGAUAUUGGUCUAAACAAUACCUUAAUGUCUUACAAAACCGUCCUAAAUGGAAGGCCGCCUUGCCUAAUAUUAAAGUAGGUACUCUAGUUAUCUUGCGUGAAAUAGAUACUCCGCCUAUGACUUGGCCAAUGGCUAGAGUUACCAAGGUUUUUCCAGGUCAGGAUGGAAAGAUAAGAGCCUUAGAAGUAAAAAAGGCUAAUGGUAAAGUUCAUACAACUUCUAUUACUAAAGUGUGUAUACUACCUUUAGAUGAAUAGGUAGUGUUUCAAAAUGUUAUUAUAUGGUAUUUUAAUAUUUUGGUUAAGUAUUAUGGCUAAUAUCCUACUGAAUUGUACUGAUACUUAAUUUAUAACUGUAAGUAGGUAGUCAUGUACUAUGUGUUGAUGCUGGUUGCAUCUAAUGUAUAAGAUGUUUAUUUAGUUACAUAAAAUGUGUCUUAUCUUAUAUUUGUUACUUACUGUUUCAUAUCUACUUUCAUAGCAAUCUUGUAAACUUAUUAAGUUAUUAGUAAGAGUUAUAUUAAUUUCAAUUUCACAAACCUUAAAAGAUUACAGUCCGCUCUAGAUAUUGAAGUAUACAAGGGAGCUAAUGUGAAAUGUAGUUUAAUAUUUAAUAAGGUAUUAAUUUGUACCUAGUUAUGUUAUUUUAUGUUGGCGGAAUAUGUUGCAGAAUGGAGUUUUUAUCCCAACAUUAAAAAGUUUAUGUCAAUAUUGUCAACUGUCUUCUUGGAAAAUAUAUCUUUCGUUUCGUACGUA